rnacentral:rRNA from 1 species
AGUGAACGCUGGCGGUAGGCCUAACACAUGCAAGUCGAACGGCAGCACAGUAAGAGCUUGCUCUUACGGGUGGCGAGUGGCGGACGGGUGAGGAAUACAUCGGAAUCUACUUUUUCGUGGGGGAUAACGUAGGGAAACUUACGCUAAUACCGCAUACGACCUACGGGUGAAAGCAGGGGAUCUUCGGACCUUGCGCGAUUGAAUGAGCCGAUGUCGGAUUAGCUAGUUGGCGGGGUAAAGGCCCACCAAGGCGACGAUCCGUAGCUGGUCUGAGAGGAUGAUCAGCCACACUGGAACUGAGACACGGUCCAGACUCCUACGGGAGGCAGCAGUGGGGAAUAUUGGACAAUGGGCGCAAGUCUGAUCCAGCCAUACCGCGUGGGUGAAGAAGGCCUUCGGGUUGUAAAGCCCUUUUGUUGGGAAAGAAAAGCAGCAGGUUAAUACCCCGCUGUUCUGACGGUACCCAAAGAUUAAGCACCGGCUAACUUCGUG